UUAUGCAAGCUCACUAGGUGGUUCUUUUACCAAUGCUUCCUUUAGAGAUAUCAGGGAGGAUGGGCUGUGGAAAAUAAUGAGUCUACUGGAGCAAGAUGGACAUUUCAUGGCAGCUUUCUUAAGAGCAUAUAAGGUACUUGUAGUAAAUUUUUACAAUAAUGGUCCCAGAUGAAUUCCUCCUCUGGUACCCAUGCCCUCAUGUGGUUCCCUUUCACAUGAUGGCCAUGUGACUUGUGGUGGCCAAUGCGAUGUCAGCAAUCAUGAUGUAAUCAGAAGCUUGUUCCAGGCUUGUGCUUGCUCUCAUGGAACACAGCCUUCCCAGAUGUCCCUGCUGAGCACAAUCCACAACCAAGCCACCAGCUAAGUGAAGCUGCAUAAGUGAGCCCAAGUGAAACUAGUCAAAGAACCACCUGGCCAACCCACAGAAUUGUGGCACUUAAACUGUUGUUUUAAAUUAAUGAGUUCUGUGGCAACAGAUAACCAAUAAAACAACUUAUUCAUGCCUGUUUCCCCAGAACCUACUAUAUUGCCUGGCAUAUUUCUGCCCUCAAGGCAUUCUUAUGGACAUAAGCUUUAUCUUCCCAACAACAACCCUGUCAGCAGAAUUCUUCUAGAUUAAAUGUGGGCCUGCUGUGACUUCACCUCCAGCCCUGUUUGGGACUCCACCAUCAAAGCAUCUCUGAACAGCUUGCUUUCUGCAAUAGUUGAAGAACGAGUAGCGUGUGGAUGGCUGAGAGGUGGAUAAGUGGGGGAUCGAAUCAAGCCCAGAUGUCAGUCAGUCUCCCCCCGACCCAAGCUGAGGGCUGGGACAGAACUCAGGGGAAGAGUCUCCAGUCGGGGGGUGGUUCCCGGGAGCUGAACAUAAACAGCCCCGGUGCUGACUGCCCACCAGGCAUGGCUGCACUUGUGUCCGCCCCACUGCAGGAGUGUCUGCAGAGGCAGCUGGAGCCCAAAGUGGUCUUUUGUCUCCCCUCUCUCUGAAGUCAUCCCAGGACACAGGUGUGCAUCCCCCCCAGCCAGCCGACAGAGAAGAUGAAUCAGCUUCCCUGAAAGACGUGCCCCAGAGCAGUCUGUCAGCUGAAACUUGUCUGAAGGAGCACGCUUCCCUCCUGACCACAGCUAAUGAAAAUGUGUGGCUUGCCCGGGGAAGAAUCUAUGCUAUUCUUUAAAGGAACAAUGCGAACCACAGAUGUGCAGCAUCUGGCAUACGAUAGGGAUUUCCCUGAAUGAGAACGGUAACUGGACCAGCCAGCUUAUGAGAUGCCUUUGGGUCCAGGCAUGUAUUUUCCUCCUUUUGGCUCUGGAUUUGGGUUCUCAGAAGUUCAGGUGAAGCCCAAGUCACUAUCACUUAGUGUUUUUCAUUAUAUGCGCCCCCCCUCCUCAUUUAUCUUCAAUGGUCUUAAUGAAUAUGCUUGAGAUGCUCCCAAACCUAUAUCCCUGCCUCUAAGUCUUUGCUCAUGUCAUUCUCCAUUUCUGUACAGCCUCCCCUUUUUUUAUGACCAUCUAAUUUGUCAGGACUCUUUCCAUGGAGGUUAAGUGAAGCCCAAUCCAACUUGCUUGAAGCAAAAAACUACAUUUAUUGAAUAACGUAACUUAAAAUCCAGGACCACUUGACUUCAAAGAUAGGUACACCUGGAUCUAGGCGUUCAAAUGAGUUUUCCAGGACCUGGUCUUAGUCUAUUUCUUCAGGUCUAGACUCUGUCUUUUACAUUGGCCCGAGUUUCAGGUAGGCACUGAAUGGGCUCCAGUCUUUCAUGUUACCAUGUUAACUCCCGCGUGGAAAAAGUGAUCCUGGGGAUAGGCCUGAUUGGACCACUUGGGACACAUUCAUGUUUGCCUAUGAAGUAAUCACUGUAAUCGGGGCGAUGGGAUUCCUGUUAUUGUCCAGGCCUGUGUCCCUUGCUCAGCCCUAAGGCUAGGGAGUUUGGUCUUCACCCAGAGGAAAUCAGGAUCCUAUCAUAAGAAUAAGGUUGAAUGGAUGUAGGACAAGUAACAUUAGUAGACACACAACCCGUAGCUUGCUUUUCAAGCUCAAGUUCAUCCCAGGCCACAUUCCCCUCUCUUGCCCCUGCAACACUUUUACAGUUGAAUAUGGGAUUGUAUAUGCCUCCUAGCUUCUCCCGCUGGGACUAGAGGGCAUUCCUGGUAAUAGAAGACGUGGGGUGGGGCGUGGGUAGUACAUGGGGGGCAGGAAUCACAUUGUGUUUCCUUUCCUUGUUUGAAACCCUGUGAAAUCAAAUGGAGACGAGGCAGCUUUGAAUCGGGGAAAUAGUUACAGCAGUUAUUGGUUUGGAGCAGGGAAGAAACGGACCUUAGUGACAAGGAUGGGGGCCAGUUCUACCUGUAUGUAUGAGUGCUUCUCCAUCUCAGGCCCCCCAGUGGCUGCCUCCAGGUUCAGAUGGGAUGCCAAGAUUUGCUGUGAUUUGGGGCCGGCCGAACACUUGUUGAGUCUGUGUGAAUCAUUGAGCUUUUGCCGGUCAGUGCCGCAUGCCUUCUAUUUUUCUUAUACCACCCUGUGUAUCUAGUACUUUGGUGAGCACCUAACAAUUACCCGACGGGUUUUAUUGUGAAAUUGCGAUGUAGGUGCCAGUGCUCAAGCCUGGAAAUCAAAAGGUGUGGGUUGUAAUCAAGUCUCUUGACUUUUGCCGAGCUAAGUAGCCAUACCAAGAGAGCACAGGGCAGGAUAACAGCUAUUUUUGUCUAGUGCUUCUGGUUCCCAAUACUUACAUUGCUGGCUCACUUACAAUGACCCUGUGAGAUAAUCCAAAUGCUAUGGGGUAAGCUUCAAGGUUAAGUCUAAGGCAAAAACUGGGUGUAAUCAACAUUUCCCUGGAAACUCCUAUAAAUCAUCCAUAAAGUACA